UCGUACUGCAUGAAGAGGGGAGUUUCCAAGAAUAAAAAUAAAGCUGCUCAAAACUAGGUUUUAUAUGUAUUGUUUAUACUCUAACGUACAUUCUGAUCAAUUGAGAUGUGACUUUUGAUGGCGAUGUUCGCCAAUGUUUUUGUCUCUUUGUUCUUGUGAUAUUGUGUGAAGGCUCAAUAUGUUGAACAUGCUGAUCUGAAUAAAUCCUGAGUUCUUUAUUUGACGGUCAAAAUGAGUACAAAGGAUAGAGAGAAAUGUUCUGACAAACCAUCGCAGAAUAUCACUAGGCACAUGUAUUCGCUGGUCGCGAAACACGG